rnacentral:sRNA from 12 species
GCUGCGUUGGCCAGAUGGCGCGCAGCCCGAUCAAGGUCGGUGGUCAGCCCGCCUGUCCUGCCUCGGCGAACACCUUACGCGAUCCGGUAGAACGGGGCGUAGCACGGGCGCGGCGCGCAGCACCCGUGUCGAGACCCGAGGCCGGU